AGACCCGAAACCCGGUGAUCUAGCCAUGGGCAGGUUGAAGGUUGGGUAACACUAACUGGAGGACCGAACCGACUAAUGUUGAAAAAUUAGCGGAUGACCUGUGGCUGGGGGUGAAAGGCCAAUCAAACCGGGAGAUAGCUGGUUCUCCCCGAAAGCUAUUUAGGUAGCGCCUCGUGAAUUCAUCUCCGGGGGUAGAGCACUGUUUCGGCUAGGGGGCCAUCCCGGCUUACCAACCCGAUGCAAACUGCGAAUACCGGAGAAUGUUAUCACGGGAGACACACGGCGGGUGCUAACGUCCGUCGUGAAGAGGGAAACAACCCAGACCGCCAGCUAAGGUCCCAAAGUCAUGGUUAAGUGGGAAACGAUGUGGGAAGGCCCAGACAGCCAGGAUGUUGGCUUAGAAGCAGCCAUCAUUUAAAGAAAGCGUAAUAGCUCACUGGUCGAGUCGGCCUGCGCGGAAGAUGUAACGGGGCUAAACCAUGCACCGAAGCUGCGGCAGCGAACGUAUCACCCAAGACAACUUUACGGAGUUGACGAUUGACGGAGCGAAGCGACGUCAAAGCGUUCAUUAAAGUCGAGUUGGCUUAGGGAUACGUUCGUUGGGUAGGGGAGCGUUCUGUAAGCCUGUGAAGGUGUGUCGUGAGGCAUGCUGGAGGUAUCAGAAGUGCGAAUGCUGACAUAAGUAACGAUAAAGCGGGUGAAAAGCCCGCUCGCCGGAAGACCAAGGGUUCCUGUCCAACGUUAAUCGGGGCAGGGUGAGUCGACCCCUAAGGCGAGGCCGAAAGGCGUAGUCGAUGGGAAACGGGUUAAUAUUCCCGUACUUGGUGUUACUGCGAAGGGGGGACGGAGAAGGCUAUGUUGGCCGGGCGACGGUUGUCCCGGUUUAAGCGUGUAGGUGUGUGUUCCAGGUAAAUCCGGUUCACUUUAACACUGAGGCGUGAUGACGAGGCACUACGGUGCUGAAGCAACAAAUGCCCUGCUUCCAGGAAAAGCCUCUAAGCAUCAGGUAACAUCAAAUCGUACCCCAAACCGACACAGGUGGUCAGGUAGAGAAUACCAAGGCGCUUGAGAGAACUCGGGUGAAGGAACUAGGCAAAAUGGUGCCGUAACUUCGGGAGAAGGCACGCUGACACGUAGGUGAAGUGAUUUACUCACGGAGCUGAAGUCAGUCGAAGAUACCAGCUGGCUGCAACUGUUUAUUAAAAACACAGCACUGUGCAAACACGAAAGUGGACGUAUACGGUGUGACGCCUGCCCGGUGCCGGAAGGUUAAUUGAUGGGGUCAGCGCAAG
rnacentral:rRNA from 1 species